ACUAUUCUUUUCUUGGAGUUACACUGGUGUCCAAUGAGUAUGUAAUGCAGGCAGUACUGCUCACACCUACGUGACACACCCCCAUCAGCUAGGAUUGGGCUUUACCUUCAUGCACUUUUGAAAAA
ensembl:snRNA